AUGCUUUGGUGCGCUGGAUGUCAAUUCUGAAUAAUGUAGCUGAUCAGUUAUGAUCCUGCGAGCACAUCGCCUGGGCGGCAGAUGCAGAGCUCAUCAAAACCAAAUCUUACAGGUGGUGGGUGCUGAGCACUGGCCUGUGGGGCUUAUCACUCAUCCUCAACAUACUCGGAUCCAUUAGGUCCAUCCUGUUUCUUAAGAGAAAAGCGCAGACGUGUCAAAGGUCAGGUUCAGCUGAGAGCAGGGAGGAAGCAUUUCUCAGGAAGCUGCGCUCCGGAGGCAGAUCCGAGGGGAAGUGUUCAGUAUCCUGAGCAGUUUGGCAGAUCUCGGCAAUGCCAUUCAUUGGAUGCUGCCUGGAUUUCUGUGGGCUGGACGGUUUCCUCCAUGGCUGGUGGGACUGAUGGGAACGACCUCCUCACUGAUAGGCCUUCUACCGAUCAGCUCUGGUGAUCAAGGACUUGCAAAUUUGCAGAUUUCCUCUCAGACCUAUUGGUUACUGUUGAUAAAGUGC